GUGAGGCACCACAGCCCUCACUUCUCAGUCCUUUCUGAGAUGCUUUAGAAAGAUCCGGCCAACACGUGGGGGACUGAGGAAGCGGUGUCCUUGGUAUCUUUGCACUGGAGCAUCAGGUAUGCGCGCAGCCGUAGGUCCAACGUGGAGCCAGAGUGACAGAGACUUGGUGCCCACAGAGAAGAGAUGCAUGAAUUCUCUUCCAUAAUGAUACUAGUGAAGAGUAACAGAGUCAUGGCUGGAUGGGUGGGACAGCCUGUUGUGCUGUUUUGAGACAACAUACAGGUGUCCAGAAAGAUGAUGAACUGAU
rnacentral:lncRNA from 1 species